GUUUCCGUAGUGUAGUGGUAAUCACGUUCGCCUAACACGCGAAAGGUCUCCGGUUCGAGCCCGGACGGAAACA
rnacentral:tRNA from 1 species